rnacentral:misc_RNA from 1 species
GAUGAAGAACGCAGUGAAAUGCGAUAAGUAGUGUGAAUUGCAGAAUUCAGUGAAUCAUCGAAUCUUUGAACGCACAUUGCGCCCUUUGGUAUUCCAAAGGGCAUGCCUGUUCGAGCGUCAUUUGUACCCUCAAGCUUUGCUUGGUGUUGGGCGUCUUGUCUCUAGCUUUGCUGGAGACUCGCCUUAAAGUAAUUGGCAGCCGGCCUACUGGUUUCGGAGCGCAGCACAAGUCGCACUCUCUAUCAGCAAAGGUCUAGCAUCCAUUAAGCUUUUUUUUCAACUUUUGACCUCGGAUCAGGUAGGGAUACCCGCUGAACUUAAGCAUAUCAAUAAGCGGAGGA